ensembl:lncRNA
GGGGCGGCAGGUAGCCUAGUGGUUAGAGUGUAGAGGCGGCAGGGUAGCCUAGUGGUUAGAGUGUAGAGGAGGCAGGUAGCCUAGUGGUUAGAGUGUAGAGGAGGCAGGGUAGCCUAGUGGUUAGAGUGUAGAGGAGGCAGGUAGCCCAGUGGUUAGAGUGUAGAGGCGGCAGGGUAGCCUAGUGGGUAGAGUGUAGAGGAGGCAGGGUAGCCUAGUGGUUAGAGUGUAGAGGCGGCAGGGUAGCCUAGUGGUUAGAGUGUAGAGGAGGCAGGUAGCCUAGUGGUUAGAGUGUAGGGGCGGCAGUGUAGCCUAGUGGUUAGAGUGUAGGGGCGGCAGGGUAGCCUAGAGGUUAGAGUGUAGAGGAGGCAGGUAGCCUAGUGGUUAGAGUGUAGAGGAGGCAGGUAGCCUAGUGGUUAGAGUGUAGAGGAGGCAGGGUAGCCUAGUGGUUAGAGUGUAGAGGCGGCAGGGUAGCCUAGUGGUUAGAGUGUAGAGGAGGCAGGUAGCCUAGUGGUUAGAGUGUAGAGGAGGCAGGUAACCUAGUGGUUAGAGUGUUGAGGAGGCAGGUAGCCCAGUGGUUAGAGUGUAGAGGAGGCAGGUAACCUAGUGGUUAGAGUGUUGAGGAGGCAGGUAGCCCAGUGGUUAGAGUGUAGAGGAGGCAGGUAGCCUAGUGGUUAGAGUGUAGGGGCGGCAGUGUAGCCUAGUGGUUAGAGUGUAGGGGCGGCAGGGUAGCCUAGUGGUUAGAGUGUAGAGGAGGCAGGUAGCCUAGUGGUUAGAGUGUAGAGGAGGCAGGUAGCCUAGUGGUUAGAGUGUAGAGGAGGUAGGGUAGCCUAGUGGUUAGGGUGUAGAGGCGGCAGGGUAGCCUAGUGGUUAGAGUGUAGAGGCGGCAGGGUAGCCUAGUGGUUAGAGUGUAGAGGCGGCAGGGUAGCCUAGUGGUUAGAGUGUAGAGGCGGCAGGGUAGCCUAGUGGGUAGAGUGUAGAGGAGGCAGGGUAGCCUAGUGGUUAGAGUGUAGAGGAGGCAGGUAGCCUAGUGGUUAGAGUGUAGAGGAGGCAGGUAACCUAGUGGUUAGAGUGUAGAGGAGGCAGGGUAGCCUAGUGGUUAGAGUGUAGAGGAGGCAGGGUAGCCUAGUGGUUAGAGUGUAGAGGCGGCAGGGUAGCCUAGUGGGUAGAGUGUAGAGGAGGCAGGUAGCCUAGUGGUUAGAGUGUAGAGGAGGCAGGGUAGCCUAGUGGUUAGAGUGUAGAGGCGGCAGGGUAGCCUAGUGGUUAGAGUGUAGAGGUGGCAGGUAGCCUAGUGGUUAGAGUGUAGAGGAGGCAGGUAGCCCAGUGGUUAGAGUGUAGAGGCGGCAGGGUAGCCUAGUGGGUAGAGUGUAGAGGAGGCAG